GCGACGCCGCGUGGAGGAUGAAGGUCUUCGGAUUGUAAACUCCUGUCAUUGGUGAACAAGGUCUACCGGGUAACUACCGGUGGGAUUGAUAGUAGCCGAAGAGGAAGAGACGGCUAACUCUGUGCCAGCAGCCGCGGUAAUACAGAGGUCUCAAGCGUUGUUCGGAUUCAUUGGGCGUAAAGGGUGCGUAGGCGGCGAGGCAAGUCUGGUGUGAAAUCCCGGGGCUCAACCCCGGAACUGCACUGGAUACUGCUUUGCUAGAGCACUGGAGAGGGAACUGGAAUUUACGGUGUAGCAGUGAAAUGCGUAGAUAUCGUAAGGAAGACCAGCGGCGAAGGCGAGUUCCUGGACAGUUACUGACGCUGAGGCACGAAGGCCAGGGGAGCAAACGGGAUUAGAUACCCCGGUAGUCCUGGCAGUAAACGGUGUGCGUUUGGUGUGGGAGGAUUCGACCCCUUCCGUGCCGGAGCUAACGCGUUAAACGCACCGCCUGGGGAGUACGGUCGCAAGAUUA
rnacentral:rRNA from 1 species